AAUGAACGUUGGCGGCGUGGAUUAGGCAUGCAAGUCGUGCGAGAACCGUAGCAAUACGGGGACAGCGGCGAAAGGGAGAGGAAUACGCGGGUACCUACCCUCGGAUCUGGGAUAGCUACGGGAAACUGUAGGUAAUACCAGAUGACGUCUUCGGACCAAAGGUGUGAUUCCGUCCGGGGAGGGGCCCACGUCCUAUUAGCUUGUUGGCGAGGUAACGGCUCACCAAGGCAAAGAUGGGUAUGGGAUGUGAGAGCAUGAUCCCACUCACUGGGACUGAGACACUGCCCAGACACCUACGGGUGGCUGCAGUCGAGAAUCUUCGGCAAUGGGGGCAGCCCUGACCGAGCGACGCCGCGUGCGAGAUGAAGGCCUUCGGGUUGUAAAUCGCUGUCAGUGGGGAGGAAAUGCUGGUGGGUUCUCCCAUCAGUUUGACCUAUCCGCAGAGGAAGGACGGGCUAAGUUCGUGCCAGCCGCCGCAGUAACAC
rnacentral:rRNA from 1 species